rnacentral:rRNA from 1 species
UACGUAGGGUGCAAGCGUUGUCCGGAAUUAUUGGGCGUAAAGAGCUCGUAGGCGGUUUGUUGCGUCGGCUGUGAAAUCCCGAGGCUCAACCUCGGGUCUGCAGUCGAUACGAGCAAACUAGAGUGUUGCAGGGGAGACUGGAAUUCCAGGUGUAGCGGUGAAAUGCGUAGAUAUCUGGAGGAAUACCGGUGGCGAAGGCGGCAUCCUGGCCCUGACCUGACGCUGAGGCGCGAGAGCGUGGGGAGCAAACUGG